CGUGCUAAUCUGCGAUAAGCGCCGGUAAGGUGAUAUGAACCGUUAUAACCGGCGAUACCCGAAUGGGGAAACCCAGUGUGACUCGUCACACUAUCAUUAACUGAAUCCAUAGGUUAAUGAGGCGAACCGGGGGAACUGAAACAUCUAAGUACCCCGAGGAAAAGAAAUCAACCGAGAUUCCCUCAGUAGCGGCGAGCGAACGGGGAGGAGCCCAGAGCCUGAAUCAGCAUGUGUGUUAGUGGAAGCGUCUGGAAAGGCGCGCGAUACAGGGUGACAGCCCCGUACACAAAAGCGCAUAUGCUGUGAGCUCGAUGAGUAGGGCGGGACACGUGGUAUCCUGUCUGAAUAUGGGGGGACCAUCCUCCAAGGCUAAAUACUCCUGACUGACCGAUAGUGAACCAGUACCGUGAGGGAAAGGCGAAAAGAACCCCGGUGAGGGGAGUGAAAAAGAACCUGAAACCGUGUACGUACAAGCAGUGGGAGCACCCUUUGGGGUGUGACUGCGUACCUUUUGUAUAAUGGGUCAGCGACUUAUAUUCUGUAGCAAGGUUAACCG
rnacentral:rRNA from 2 species